UACGAAGGGGGCUAGCGUUGCUCGGAAUUACUGGGCGUAAAGGGAGCGUAGGCGGACAUUUAAGUCAGGGGUGAAAUCCCAGAGCUCAACUCUGGAACUGCCUUUGAUACUGGGUGUCUUGAGUAUGAUAGAGGUAUGUGGAACUCCGAGUGUAGAGGUGAAAUUCGUAGAUAUUCGGAAGAACACCGGUGGCGAAGGCGACAUACUGGAUCAUUACUGACGCUGAGGCUCGAAAGCGUGGGAGCAAACAGG
rnacentral:rRNA from 1 species